rnacentral:rRNA from 1 species
UACGUAGGGUCCGAGCGUUGUCCGGAAUUACUGGGCGUAAAGAGCUCGUAGGUGAUUUGUCGCGUUGUUCGUGAAAACUCACAGCUCAACUGUGGGCGUGCGGGCGAUACGGGCAGACUUGAGUACUGCAGGGGAGACUGGAAUUCCUGGUGUAGCGGUGGAAUGCGCAGAUAUCAGGAGGAACACCGGUGGCGAAGGCGGGUCUCUGGGCAGUAACUGACGCUGAGGAGCGAAAGCGUGGGGAGCGAACAGG